AGAUUUCAUUAUUGCUUCCCUGAUGUAACCAGGAGGAUUUAAAUAACCAAUGGGGGUGGAUACUCCUUUCUUUCUGACCUGAACCUUAUUGCAAAACACCAAGUGGAUAAAUGUAAAUUCUGAAGUUGCCUGGUUUUCUCCAGGACACACCCAGAAAGAUUCAUCACUCUGACAAAAGUUUAAAUGCUUAUAAUCCAUUUGUAAUGGAGCAUUUGGGAUGGAAUUAUAUAUGGAGAACUAUCCAUUUUGAGGGAAGACUUACGGAAAAAUUAUCAGUUCAAUAUGGUAAGUCCAGGGAAAAAGAAAGGAAUGAAUUGGACUCAGCAUCCUGGUGUCAUUUGUUUCCAGUGUUCACUGAGCAUCAUUUUGCUACCUCUGAUCCACUCUACAUCAUAAGAGGUGAACUUACCCCUU